AAACUUACCUGGCAGGGGCAAUACCAUGAUCAAGAUGGUGGUUUGCCCAAAGUGAGGCUCAGCUAUUGCACUUCUGGCUGUGCUGUCCUUUGCAAAUUCCUCAAAUGCAGGAAUCUCGACUGCAUUUUUUUUUUGGGGGGGUGGGUGCAACCAUGGCCUG